AUUGAACGCUUCUCCACUUUAGCUGCUGCAGAUGCUGUUUGAAGAAGCUCUGCCCCUCAGCUGCUCUGAUCCUGUGCUUAGCACUCUUAGCCUGGUGCAGGGCCUGCUGUCUGCUCACUCUCACCAUGUCCUGCCCAGGGCCUGACCCUCCUGAGGGGCCCGGGACCCAGCGUGUGUGGCAAGGGGCUCUACGGAUCCUACAGCUCCCAGGAGCCCCAUGACUUGUGGGGGGACCACAGUCUGGAGGUGGAGGCUGGCCUGCCUCCUGGCUGGAGGAAGAUCCACGAUGCUGCAGGUACUUACUACUGGCAUGUACCCAGCGGUAGCACCCAGUGGCAGCGCCCAACCUGGGAACUAGGAGAUGCAGAGGACCCAGGCACGGGAACGGAGGGGAUCUGGGGACUGCGGCCCCCCAAAGGGAGAUCCUUCUCCAGCCUGGAGAGUUCACUGGACCGGAGUAACUCUCUGUCCUGGUAUGGUGGGGAAUCCUACAUCCAGAGCAUGGAGCCAGGGGCUAAGUGCUUUGCAGUCCGCUCUCUGGGCUGGGUAGAGGUACCUGAAGAGGACCUGGCACCG
ensembl:lncRNA novel transcript